rnacentral:rRNA from 1 species
AACGAACGCUGGCGGCAGGCUUAACACAUGCAAGUCGAACGCCCCGCAAGGGGAGUGGCAGACGGGUGAGUAACGCGUGGGAACAUACCCUUUCCUGCGGAAUAGCACCGGGAAACUGGAAUUAAUACCGCAUACGCCCUACGGGGGAAAGAUUUAUCGGGGAAGGAUUGGCCCGCGUUGGAUUAGCUAGUUGGUGGGGUAAAGGCCUACCAGGGCGACGAUCCAUAGCUGGUCUGAGAGGAUGAUCAGCCACAUUGGGACUGAGACACGGCCCAAACUCCUACGGGGGGCAGCAGUGGGGAAUAUUGGACAAUGGGCGCAAGCCUGAUCCAGCCAUGCCGCGUGAGUGAUGAAGGCCUUAGGGUUGAAAAGCUCUUUCACCGAUGAAGAUAAUGACGGUAGUCGGAGAAGAAGCCCCGGCUAACUUCGUGCCAGCAGCCGCCGUAAGAC